rnacentral:rRNA from 1 species
AGAGUUUGAUCCUGGCUCAGGAUGAAUGCUGGCGGCGUGCCUAACACAUGCAAGUCGAGCGGCAGCGAGUUUUACACUGAAUUCUGGAAGCUUCUGGGUAAUAUAGAAGAUUUAUUCAAGAAUUUUGUGUAAAAUGUCGGCGAGCGGCGGACGGCUGAGUAACGCGUAGGAAUUUGCCCCAAAGUGAGGAAUAACUGCCCGAAAGGGUAGCUAAUGCCGCAUAUGGUCUUCGGAUUAAAGCCUUCGGGCGCUUUGGGAGAAGCCUGCGUUGGAUUAGGUAGUUGGUAGGGUAAUGGCCUACCAAGCCGACGAUCCAUAGCUGGUCUGAGAGGAUGAUCAGCCAGACUGGAACUGAGACACGGUCCAGACUCCUACGGGAGGCAGCAGUGAGGAAUCUUCCACAAUGGGCGAAAGCCUGAUGGAGCAACGCCGCGUGAAGGAUGAAGGCCUUCGGGUUGUAAACUUCUUUUAUGAGUGAAGAAUAUGACGGUAACUCAUGAAUAAGCACCGGCUAACUACGUGCCAGCAGCCGCGGUCAUACGUAGGGUGCAAGCAUUAUCCGGAGUGACUGGGCGUAAAGAGUUGCGUAGGCGGUUUAAUAAGUGAAUAGUGAAACCUGGUGGCUCAACCAUACAGACUAUUAUUCAAACUGUUAAACUCGAGAAUGGUAGAGGUAACUGGAAUUUCUAGUGUAGGAGUGAAAUCCGUAGAUAUUAGAAGGAACACCGAUGGCGUAGGCAGGUUACUGGGCCAUUUCUGACGCUAAGGCACGAAAGCGUGGGGAGCGAACCGGAUUAGAUACCCGGGUAGUCCACGCCGUAAACGAUGGAUACUAGCUGUUGGAGGUAUCGACCCCUUCAGUAGCGAAGCUAACGCGUUAAGUAUCCCGCCUGUGGAGUACGGCCGCAAGGCUAAAACAUAAAGGAAUUGACGGGGACCCGCACAAGCGGUGGAUUAUGUUCUUUAAUUCGAUGAUAACCGAAGAACCUUACCAGGGCUUGACAUCCAGGGAAGGUCUGCGAAAGUAGACUGUGCCUUUUGGAACCCUGUGACAGGUGAUGCAUGGCCGUCGUCAGCUCGUGUCGUGAGAUGUUUGGUUAAGUC